AGAGUUUGAUCAUGGCUCAGGAUAAACGCUGGCGGCGCACAUAAGACAUGCAAGUCGAACGAACUUAACCGAAUAGUUUACUUUUUGGAGCGGUUAGUGGCGGACUGGUGAGUAACACGUAAGCAACCUGCCUAUCAGAGGGGAACAACAGUUAGAAAUGACUGCUAAUACCGCAUAUGCCAUGAGUAUCGCAUGAUACAAGUGGGAAAGGAGCAAUCCGCUGAUAGAUGGGCUUGCGACUGAUUAGCUAGUUGGUGUGGUAACGGCAUACCAAGGCGACGAUCAGUAGCCGGACUGAGAGGUUGAACGGCCACAUUGGGACUGAGAUACGGCCCAGACUCCUACGGGAGGCAGCAGUCGGGAAUAUUGCGCAAUGGAGGGGACUCUGACGCAGUGACGCCGCGUGCAGGAAGAAGGUUUUCGGAUUGUAAACUGCUUUAGACAGGGAAGAAUAAUGACAGUACCUGUAGAAUAAGCUCCGGCUAACUACGUGCCAGCAGCCGCGGUAAUACGUAGGGAGCGAGCGUUAUCCGGAUUUAUUGGGUGUAAAGGGUGCGUAGACGGGAAGUUAAGUUAGUUGUGAAAUCCCUCGGGCUCAACUGAGGAAUUGCAACUGAAACUGAUUUUCUUUGAGUGCUGGAGAGGAAAGUGGAAUUCCUAGUGUAGCGGUGAAAUGCGUAGAUAUUAGGAGGAACACCAGUGGCGAAGGCGACUUUCUGGACAGUAACUGACGUUGAGGCACGAAAGCGUGGGGAGCAAACAGGAUUAGAUACCCUGGUAGUCCACGCUGUAAACGAUGG
rnacentral:rRNA from 1 species